rfam:Camelus ferus unplaced genomic scaffold scaffold390, whole genome shotgun sequence.
GAGGGGAUAGCUCAGUGGUAGAGCCCAUGCUUAGCAUGCAAGAGGUCCUGUAUUCAAUCCUCAGUACCUCCA